rnacentral:misc_RNA from 1 species
GCAAACUUGGUCAUUUAGAGGAAGUAAAAGUCGUAACAAGGUUUCCGUAGGUGAACCUGCGGAAGGAUCAUUUCCAAUAAAACAUUAACAAAAACCCAAAAGGAAAGGUGGAAAAGCUGGAGAGGUUCUCUGGCUUAUAAUUCCCCUUUUCUGUGUGCAACCUGGUUGAGAAGCCCUUUUUUUUCUUUUACUCUCAAUACGAGAGGUUUCUAUUUUUUAAUAGAAACCUUUAUGAGAGAGAUUUGAGAUAAGCCCCUUUGAUAAACAAAAACAAAAAACACAGUUUUUCAUUUGGUUGAGAAGACUAAAAAUAUUGACAACUUUUAACGGUGGAUCUCUGGGCUCGUGCAUCGAUGAAGAACGCAGC